rnacentral:rRNA from 1 species
GAUGAACGCUGGCGGCGUGCCUAAUACAUGCCAGUCGAGCGAACGGACGAGAAGCUUGCUUCUCUGAUGUUAGCGGCGGACGGGUGAGUAACACGUGGAUAACCUACCUAUAAGACUGGGAUAACUUCGGGAAACCGGAGCUAAUACCGGAUGAUAUUUUGAACCGCAUGGUUCAAAAGUGAAAGACGGUCUUGCUGUCACUUAUAGAUGGAUCCGCGCUGCAUUAGCUAGUUGGUAAGGUAACGGCUUACCAAGGCAACGAUGCAUAGCCGACCUGAGAGGGUGAUCGGCCACACUGGACCUGAGACACGGUCCAGACUCCUACGGGAGGCAGCAGUAGGGAAUCUUCCGCAAUGGGCGAAAGCCUGACGGAGCAACGCCGCGUGAGUGAUGAAGGUCUUCGGAUCGUAAAACUCUUUUAUUAGGGAAGAACGGAUGUGUAAGUAACUGUGCACAUCUUGACGGUACCUAAUCAAAAAGCCACGGCUAACUACGU